CUCUAGUAUCAGAACCUUCUGACUUUCUCCUCAAAGGCUCUACUGCUGAGGUGUCCCUCCCCAAGAGCACUCAGCAUCGCUCACCCAGCCGUCCACUCUCCUCCAAUCCUCCUGCAGAACAAGUAGAGCAUGGAAGGCUCUUGGAUUCUGCUCCCAACUCCCAGAGACAGUGUCAGUGUGAGGCCUCUGCUUUUGGAGACUCGGGUAUGUUGACUGCAGGACUUCCAAAGGCUGGGAGUCUGGGCCUGCACCACUCCCUCGACUGCCAAUUCCCGCAAGAAACGACAUCUCCCAGCUGAGGAGGGAGAGCGGAGUCCAUGAGAAGCUUACCGGCAGUCUGCUCACAUGAGGAGUGGCGAGAACUGAGACCCACACAAUUCCCCGCAAAGUUUUAUUUUUGGUAUUUUUGACUGAAAUGACAGCGGAUAGGUUCACCUGAGAAACCAGCUGCAUCUGCCCGCCUUUUACAGAAACUGGGGUCACCAGAGCAGAAAGGGCUCCCAUCUCACAUACCGUGUCUCGGGGUUCCAAGGAGACCCCUAGCAGAGCGCUCUUUAAACAGGGCAGAGCAAACCACGUCCCUGCCAUCAUGGAGCUUACCGUCUAGGCCGGUAGAGUAUGUAGACUUAAUCAGAUCAUAGCAGAAGCAAACCUAGAAUCACAAACUGGGACAGAGCUGCAUCGGCCUCACAGUUGAAGUGUUCUGGGCUUGUUUGGCUCAUUUUCACCUCAAGUUGGUUCAGUCAGGCUUGAACGAGCAGCAAGUUGGGGGCCCCUGUCUCCAGGGGCUGUAUGAAGAGGAGAGUGUCUGAGCAUAACUGUUCUGUCUCCAGUGCAAUGAGACAGUUCUGGGGUUGGGCUCAGCCCACACCAUGCAUGGAAGCCUGACCCCAGAUAGAACAAAGUAGCCCCAGACAUUCAGGACCCUUCCUCAGCCUAGCGACCCUGGACGAACCCCAAAAAUGUUUUACUUAUCCUGUCCUGGCAGAUCAGUCCCCUAGGGGAAGACCCAGACCUAGAAACUCAGAUUCCAAGAUGGAAAUCAGCUGGCUUCAGGAGUUCCAGAGAGUCUCAGAUCUAAUUUUCUGACUCCUAUCUGCAGGGAGCCUUUUGAGUCAGCCUACAACAACCCUCAGUGAAGUCAGAGACCACCUCCUUCUAACGACGGACUCAUAUCAAUUAGGAAGGGAAGAAGCAUCUAAUGCAACCCUAAAAUCCUUGGCACUGAAAAGUGGUGUGGUGUUAUUUGGAACUCAAGCAGAUCUAGUUUGGAAUGUCUACUACAUAGCUUACUUAUCACUGUGUGACCCUUGACAAAUAAUGUAAACUGUGGGUGCCUCAUUUCUCCAUUUGCGGCAUGAAAAUAAUGAUCUCCAUCUCAUGGGAAUAUCAUGAGGACUGUAUGAAAUUAACCAAACACCUAGUAUGUAAUAGGUUUUCAAGAAAUGGCUAUUUCUCCUUUGUUCUCAGCCAAAAAUCUGUGGCCCAUUACUCAUCAGAAGAGGAGCUUUGGUACGGUGACCCUGACGUGCCCCCAUCCAGCUGCAUCCUAAUACUGAAUGUCUCUAUCCUCGAUAUACCCAGGGACUUCUCAACCUGCCUUCAUUGUAUUCCUGGAAGUCAUCCCUCAGAUUCUUGGGCCUGAUGUCCCCAGCAGCAGGAUGGCCCGGUUCAGGAGACAGGGAGGGCAAUGAUGCUGCAGAGAAAUUGAUCAAAGACCUCACAUGCAAACAGAGCAUGUUUAAAUAGAGAAGAGCCAAGAAAAUCCUGGCACUGACCUCUUGUAAAGAUAUCAGGAGCUGAGUAGAAGAUCUUUUUUAAUUCCAAAGCCACCAGAGGAUUAAAUUUGUGGCGUAUUUUAGUUUUUAAGGACUACUCCAGGAAGGAGCACCUUGAAGAUUUUUGAGUGGCAGACAGAGUAACCUACAUGUAUCUCCGAAAGGACGGGGAUGCAGCCAUGACUGAGGCCAUUGUCACAGAUACAUCCUUAAAGGGCUAGAAGCCUAGGAGCACAUUUCACAUGUGGGAUGGCAACAUGGAAGCAUAUGAGGGAGGGCUCUUUAGUGAACAGAAAGGGGAGCUUUAUCACCGAUUAGAACAAGACAAACUUCUGGCUGACAUACUGACCACUGCCUCAGCUCUAUCUAGAGCAACAGGGAUCAAAACAGGAGAAGGAACUAGACUGACAGCCAGGGGUGACCCAACCCAGGCUUCUCACCCAAAUUCUAUAGCAAGGCAGGACCAGAGUGAGGAGAUGGAGCAGAAGAGACAGGUACAUCUUCCCUCUUUAAGACUGAGACCCAAAGCCUGAAUCUAGAAUUGCCAGUAUAAUCUAGAACAGGAAAAACCUACAGUUAGGAGCUGGAGGAGGGAACAUUCACUUGUUUGUUCCUUGACUUAAGCAAUAUCUAUUUUGGGAUUUCUAAGACCAAAGGGAUUCCUACAAAAAAAAACAAAAUUUUCCUGAGACCUUCAGGUGGGGACCAUUUCCUUGCAGGAAGGACUCUUUAGACCCAGCAUCAGCUAUACAUUUGGGUAUAGCUGGUAUACCCAAAGCUGGGUAUACAGUUGGGACAGACCCAACUGUCCAAGAUAUAAGGCUUAUGGUGGCCCUGGGUACAGCCUACAUGAGUGAAGGUAGCCCUAGUAAUUGACACAUGAUGUGAAUGUAACUGCCAGUCAAAAUGAGCUUUUGUUUUAAGUCUCUGGUUUACUAACUGGUAAAUUUAUGAUGUGGGGGAAAUCCCUUGUGAAGGAUGCUGAAGAAGUUAGAACAACAAGCUUGGGAAAGGCAUCACUUGGUCAAACUUUGAGGAAUGUACCCCCUUCCUUAUUCACAAGGUAGCUACGGACACUGAAAACAUGACUUUUCAUAGCUUCAGAGCUUCAUGGAGACCAAUACAACAAGUUCUACAGUGACUCACUUUUCUCUAGGAGUGAGGUCCUUAACCUGGAAGUAUUUAAACCAAGGACCUGACACCAGCUAUCAGGGUUCUUGCUAAGAGGAGAGGACUGGUCCAGGUCAGAAUUGUCAGGCUGUGAUCUAAAACUCUGGAAUAGAGUAAAGGUGUCUAUAAAGUGAAUUUUUGCCAAGAAAGGGAAGAAAGUGGGGGAGUCUGGGGGUGAAGGAGCAAUCAGAGCUCCAAGAUCCUCCUCAAACUGCUCCAUGUUUAUUGUUGUAUCAGAGUUCUGCAGUGAUUUUGGUUGGAAUAAAGGGGUUGGUGACAAAAAUGUUUUAGACACCAGCAUACAGAGCCUUGGGUUUCCUUCCCAAUGCUAGUAUUUUAUGUUCUAAGCUGCCUCUUCUGUCCCCAGAAUCUAAGCAAGAAGUCUAUAAUCAUCAUUUAUUCUGGAGGAGGCACAUCCAAAACCAUCUACAUGCUCCACGACACCUUCCCUGAUUCUAUUCUCCUCUCCCUCCUGCUGAAGAUGACUUGUUUCAUUGGUUGAUUCCUCUAGCUAGAAACAAUCCCAUUAUUGGAUGGAUGUAGGCUUGCAUGGGAUGAUCAAUGGAUGGUUGAUUUUCCUUCUAUCCCCUUCUUUCUAGAGUUGGUACUGGUUUCUUCCAGCAUUAAAACUUGCUUCUAUCUUCAACUCUCUUGCCUCCCUUUCCCUUCACUUCACUAUCUUCCCAGCAUUCCUCAGUCCUGGAAGUCUUAUCAAUCCUUGUACUCCUCUUCCAAUUAAAUGUAUGAUUCUUGAUAGAGAAUCAAAAAGGAAUUCAGCUUUUCUUAAGCAUGGUCAGAUCCUUUCUGGUCCCAACACCUGGUCUGAAUAUGAUUCUGGUCUGUAAUUCUUUGGCUACCUGCUCUUCCCAGAAAGUGAUACUAAUGAAACCAUUACUAAGAAAAGGAGGCAGCACAUUGCUGUUUCAGUUUUCGGUAUCAUUUGUGCUAUUUCUUGCAGACUUCAAGCUAGAUUAUGACACCUCAAUUCCAAUCUUGUGAAUUUAAAAAACAAACACAAGUUUGCCAGUCAGUACAAGCCUGCCACCAUUCCCCCUUAUGAAGCUGGUAGGAAAUUGCAGCCCAAGUUCCAAGUUUGGUCACAGAAUGGCCAGCUUCACCAUCAGCCUUGACCACUAACCCCAUCAUGAGUUACAAGAUGGGAAAUAUGCAUCCUGCUAAUUCACACAAAAAAGGCAGAACUCAGAUAUCAUACAGACUGUAAUCUAGGCUUAGCUGCAUAAACUUUGUCCUUAGAGGUAACGUGAGAGAGAACAGGAAAAUAAUGACAGUAACUAACAGCUACUGAGUGUUAACUUAAUGCCAGGCAUGGUAGUAAACACUUACCACAAGCCUAUGAAGAACUGCAUUCCCACCGUGCGUAUAAGGAAAUGGGAGCAGAGCAAGGUAGGGAGACUCACCAGCAUCAUACAACCAGUGAGGCAUAAGGCCAGGAUUCAAACUCAUAUCUGCCUGCCCCAGGGGCUAAGCUUUAAAACCAUUAAGAGGAAAGAAAGAACAGAGCUGUCACUCUGUAAAUCAAAAUAAUCCCCUAAACCUGGCUUUCCAUGCCUUAUUUAUACACACACACACGCACACAUGUGAAGGGACAGCCUGAGUUUUCCAAAGUCCAGGCGGUUCAGAAUGAAAGAAGUACAGAGAAGACAAAAGCCUGGGCUCCUAGUACAAGCUUCCACACAGAGCUGCCCAGAAAACACAUGGGCUGUGCUAUUCUGGGGAGAUUCUAGGUCCUUCCCUCCCCCUUUGAAUCUGCCAUUGCAGCUAAAAUAUCUGCCAAGAGCCCAGCGAAGGAGGUAUAGCAGGAGAGCAAAGACUUCAUUUCCUUCAAGCUGAAACACAUGCGCCAAAAAUGAGUUUUCAAAGUAUGAACAGACGUUUGCCAGCGGGGGUGCCCCACGUGUGACAUGGCCCUUCACCUAACGUGAAAGGCCCACGCUUCCCCCAAAGCAGGCUCCCAAGCCCCAUGAAUGAGGCAAGAGCCUCGGGAAGAGGGACAGGACAGGUGAGCCAGACAGCACUCAGGGUAAGUUACUGACUCAUCUUUAAGAUUCGCUUUCUCCUCUAUGAAAUAGAGUUUAAAACAGAACCCACCUCAUGAACUUUUUACAAGGAUUAAAUGAGAUAAUACAUUCGAGUGUGGCAAAGACUGGCGGUUGCCACACCCAACACCCGCCCUUUCAUUCCUUGCUAUCGACCCCUAUGUUUUGGAGGAUUGACAACGUGCCCAACUAAACAAUGACCCUAUUUCUCCCUCAAAGAUAGGAGUGGCCAUUAGAUGUCAGCAGAAGUUGUGUGUUGGUGGGGAAAGGACAUGAUAGAGAAGCAUGAUCUUUUUGCCUUUCCCUAUUCUUCUUCUUCAUGGUCUGAAACACAGAUGUGAUGGCUGGAGCUGCAGUGCAACUAGCAAGCAAAUUUGAGGACGAAGGCCACAUGCCAAGGCCAGCAGACCAAAAAGACAGAAGUAGCCUGAGACACUGUUGGCACUUACAGCUUCCAUAUAGCCCUGCAGGCUACUGUGCACCACUUCCAUACCAGACAUGCAGCUUUGAAUCAGAAGAGAACUUUCAAAACCCCUGACUCAAGAACUUUGGAGCUGUAGCGGGGACAAGGAGAAGUUAAAGAAGGAAAAACGCAGUGUAUAACCAAGAGCGGGAAACAGGGCAGCUCAUGUACACAAGGAAGCAACCCAUAUCUCAAGCACUGAAGCAGAACCACAGCAGACAACAUCAUCUCAACGGCGCCUCAGCUUACUCAGGGUAGCUCUGUGGAACCGGUGGGUAUCAUUUUGACCCUAUUUUACAUAUAAGAAACCUGAGGGUUAAAAAGAAGAAAGUGACUUGCUCUGAGCAGGUAGGAACCAGGGCCGAAGUCCCUGCAGGGGCUCACAUAAAACCCACAGACUGAGCUCUAAGGGUCAGGGGCAGGGCACGCGGAGGCUCAGCAGCUCCCAGGAAGGACAUCAUUGCCCACCUGCCACCAUUAAUGCAUUUCCACAGGGCCGUCUGCCUUUGCCCCCGAAGGGGAGCAUCUUGCUCCAUCCUUCUUCUGGGAACAAUAGCCACUAUCCAUUCUAGAAUAUCCC